rnacentral:rRNA from 1 species
CGAUACUUGGUGUGAAUUGCAGAAUUCCGUGAAUCAUCGAAUCUUUGAACGCACAUUGCGCCCCCUGGCAUUCCGGGGGGCAUGCCUGUCCGAGCGUCAUUUCUGCCCUCAAGCACGGCUUGUGUGUUGGGUGUGGUCCCCCUGGGGACCUGCCUGAAAGGCAGUGGCGACGCCCGCCUAGGUCCUCGAGCGUAUGGGGCUUUGUCACCCGCUCGGGAAGGAUCUACGGGCGUUGGUCUUCCACAAUUUUUUCCACGGUUGACCUCGGAUCAGGUAGGAGUUACCCGCUGAACUUAAGCAUAUCAAUAAGCGGAGGA